GGAAUCUUGCGCAAUGGGCGAAAGCCUGACGCAGCGACGCCGCGUGGGGGAUGAAGCUUUUCGGAGUGUAAACCCCUUUCGACCCGGACGAAACGCCCGCCAGGGCUUGACGGUACGGGUAUAAGAAGCCCCGGCUAACUACGUGCCAGCAGCCGCGGUAAGACGUAGGAGGCCAGCGUUGCUCGGAAUUACUGGGCGUAAAGGGUUCGUAGGCGGUGCGGCAAGUCGGGAGUGAAAUCUCCGGGCUUAACUCGGAGGCUGCUUCCGAAACUGCCGUGCUCGAGUGCGGGAGAGGCGAGUGGAAUUGCAGGUGUAGCGGUGAAAUGCGUAGAUAUCUGCAGGAACACCCGUGGCGAAGGCGGCUCGCUGGACCGCAACUGACGCUGAGGAACGAAAGCUAGGGGAGCA
rnacentral:rRNA from 1 species